GCCACCACGCCCAGCUAAUUUUUGUAUUUUUAGCAGAGACAGGGUUUCGCCAUGGUGGCCAGGCUGUUCUUGAACUCCUGACCUCAGGUGAUCCACCCACCUCGGCCUCCCAAGUGCUGGGAUUACAGGCGGGAGCCACUGCGCCCAGCCUGGUUUGUGGAUUUUUAAAUUUCAGAACCAGGAAGACAGCGCUUCCAGCAACCCGUUUGCGCUCCCCAACUCUGUCACACCCCCCUUACCGACAUUUGCGCGGGUGACCACAGCCUACGGGUCGUACCAGGACGCCAACAUUCCCUUUCCUAGGACUUCUGGGGCCAGGUUCUGCGGAGCAGGUUACCUGGUGUAUUUCACAAGGCCCAUGACGAUGCAUCGGGCGGUGUCUCCCACAGAGCCUACUCCGAGAUAAUCUAGUGCAGCAGAUAGGAGGGUGGACUUCAGAGCCAGACUGCUGGGUCCAAAUUUUGGCCCUGUCAUUUUAUGACCUUGAGCAAGUUAUCUCAACUUCAGCUUCAGUUUCUUCAACAGUAACAUGGGGAUGAUCAUAGCACCUACCACCUGCAGUUGCUGGGAAGAUUAAGUUCCUCUAAAAACAUUUGAAAGGCCGGGUGCAGUGGCUCACACCUGUAAUCCCAGCAUUUUGGGAGGCCGAGGUGUGAGGAUCACUUGAGGUCAGGAGUUCAAGACCAGCCUGGCCAACAUGGUG